UCCACAUUUUGAAUUUCAGGAAUCCAAUUUGGACAAGCACAUUAAGGAAGUUCACGGAGUAGCCCCUUCACAUGCGCAUUCUCUGUUUCCAUACAAAGCAUAGCAUGCAAGUGACAAUGAUGAGAAAUGAACCUAGUGCUCACGUGCAUGUUGAGGUAAUCACAAAGGAACCACUCACGUGCCUUUGCUAUAAGGAACAUCUAUUUUCACUAGGAUAGUCACAGCUUUCCAACAAACCUUUGCAGGUCAAUUUCGCGGAUGCUGAUGAGCAACCACGACUUCGUCCAGGCAGGCACAAGAGGAUGCCCAUUUCCGUCGAGACUUUGAUGCGAAAGAGGGUAACCUGCUCCUGCUUACGAUGAUGGAACCGAGUAUCUGAGACGGCUUCUGUCAGGUUGAUUCUGGAAGGAAUUGGAACGAUGCUACAUUUUUUGGGUGAUCAAACAGGCUUCUGUACUUUGAGAUAUCCUCAAUCUUAUUAUGCAUGUAUGUACAUUUCAAGGAAAU
rnacentral:lncRNA from 1 species